UACGUAGGGUGCAAGCGUUUGUCCGGAAUUAUUGGGCGUAAAGAGCUCGUAGGCGGUCUGUCGCGUCUGCUGUGAAAACUCAGGGCUUAACCCUGAGCUUGCAGUGGGUACGGGCAGACUAGAGUGCGGUAGGGGAGACUGGAAUUCCUGGUGUAGCGGUGAAAUGCGCAGAUAUCAGGAGGAACACCGGUGGGCGAAGGCAGGUCUCUGGGCGAUUAAACUGA
rnacentral:rRNA from 1 species